rnacentral:rRNA from 1 species
GUUGUAAUCUAUAGAGGGAGUUUCGGGUAAAGUCUGGUUUAAGUUCCUUGGAACAGGACGUCAUAGAGGGUGAGAACCCCGUCAGUAACCAAUCACCAACCCAUGUGAAACCCCUUCGACGAGUCGAGUUGUUUGGGAAUGCAGCUCCAAAUGGGUGGUAAAUUUCAUCUAAAGCUAAAUAUUGGCCGGAGACCGAUAGCGCACAAGUAGAGUGAUCGAAAGAUGAAAAGCACUUUGGAAAGAGAGUUAAAUAGUACGUGAAAUUGUUGAAAGGGAAGCGCUUGUGGCCAGACCUGUGCAUAGGUGAUCAGCUGGUAUUUUUACCAGUGCACUCACCUAAAGCCAGGCCAGCAUCGGUUUCGGCGGCGGGACAAAAGCGUGGAGAAUGUAACUCUCUCUUGGGUGAGUACUUAUAGCUCGUCAUGAAAUGCCGCCAGCCGAGACCGAGGACCGCGCUUCGGCUAGGAUGCUGGCGUAAUGGUUGCAAGCGACCCGUCUUGAAACACGGACCAAGGAGUCUAACAUCUAUGCGAGUGUUUGGGUGUAAAACCCAGGCGCGGAAUGAAAGUGAACGGAGGUGGGAACCCUUAAAGGGGGUGCACCAUCGACCGAUCCUGAUGUCUUCGGAUGGAUUUGAGUAUGAGCAUAGCUGUUGGGACCCGAAAGAUGGUGAACUAUGCCUGAACAGGGUGAAGCCAGAGGAAACUCUGGUGGAAGCUCGCAGCGGUUCU